rnacentral:rRNA from 1 species
CCUACGGGGGGCAGCAGUGGGGAAUAUUGGACAAUGGGGGGAACCCUGAUCCAGCCAUGCCGCGUGUGUGAAGAAGGCCUUAUGGUUGUACAGCACUUUAAGCGAGGAGGAGGCUUACCUAGUUAAUACCUAGGAUAAGUGGACGUUACUCGCAGAAUAAGCACCGGCUAACUCUGUGCCAGCAGCCGCGGUAAUACAGAGGGCGCGAGCGUUAAUCGGAUUUACUGGGCGUAAAGCGUGCGUAGGCGGCUUUUUAAGUCGGAUGUGAAAUCCCCGAGCUUAACAUGGGAAUUGCAUUCGAUACUGGGAAGCUAGAGUAUGGGAGAGGAUGGUAGAAUUCCAGGUGUAGCGGUGAAAUGCGUAGAGAUCUGGAGGAAUACCGAUGGCGAAGGCAGCCAUCUGGCCUAAUACUGACGCUGAGGUACGAAAGCAUGGGGAGCAAACAGGAUUAGAUACCCGCGUAGUC